CACUAAUUCACCAUAACGCUAUUAAAUAGAAGAAAGAAGAAGCAGUAUUAUUAUUAUUUUUUGUUAGCAGAGUUUAUAUUAUUGUUUGGCCUUAAGGGAAACAGACAGAAACAGAGAUGAAGCAGAUGCAUACGGAAUAAAGACCUGUCUGGGGAAAAGGCCGAAAAUUAUGUCAUUUCCAUCCCCCUCCAAAAAAGUUGGUGGUGAUUGGCAGGAGCUACAUGGACUACCUCAAGGUUGUUUAACUGAUUCUUCACUUUUGGGACUGUAAAUUCCAAAAGGAAAUUCAAAACACUGGGAUGGGUAGGAAAUCUGAUCUAAGUGCCUUUGACCGUGGCUUGGUUGUUGGAGCCAGACGGGCUGGUUUGAGUGUUUCUGAAACUGCUGAACUCUUAGGAUUUUCACGCACAACAGUAUCCAGAGUUUUCACAGAAUGGCGUGAGAGAGAAAAAACAUCCAGUGAACGGCAUUUCUGUGGGAGAAAACGUCUUGUUAAUGAGAAAGGACAGAGGAGAAUGGCUAGACUGGUGCAAGCUGACAGGAAGGCAACAGUAACUGAAAUAACCAUGCGUUAUAACAGCGGUGUACAGAAGAGCAUCUCGGAGCGCACAGCACGUCGAACCCUAAAGUUAAUGGGCUACAGCGGCUCAACUCCCGUAAGUCAAGUACAGGAACUCCAGGUUACAAUGGACACAGACUCACCACAGCCUGACAGCUGAAGUAAAGUCACCUGUUUUGACAAAUCUUAAUUUGCAGAUCGUUUCAGUUUUUAUCCUAAAUAACAUGAAAUCAUGAUUAUUCAUUCUGCUGUGUAUUAACAAUUUGUCUGAUGGUGGUGCAAUUUAAAUUCCACACUACAGGAAACAACAACAAACAUGACAACAACAAAUUUUGUUGACAACAAUUUGAGUUGACUUACACACCCCUGGUACCUGUUAUUAUUUCGCUGCAUGGGUUAACAACACUCUUCCUCUUAGAAGUAAAUGUAAUUACAAAUGAAUACCAGGUUCUUCUGCUGAUCAACAUUUUUAUCCUGAUAGCAGUGGUCUAUGUUCGAUUACAUUGUCCCCAUGGGAGAUUUUGGAUUAAUGCAUUAGAUAUCGUCAAAAUAGAUAGUUGGAAUGAUUGGAAAACAUUUGGAAGAGCAAUGUUGAUGUCUCCAACACACUUCCAGAUCCUUGUAAAGUCUAUGCCAUGGUGAAAUAAAGCUGUUCUUGUGGCUAAUAGUGACCCAACACCUUACUAACAUCCCCCCCCCCACACACACACACAGUGGUCACUUCAUUAGGUAAAUAUCAAUGUAACAAGAUGAACCUGAUUGUCCAUGUAAACGCACUGUAAAUAUAACUAAUAAAGCGGCCACUGGUUCUAUGUCUGAAUGGUUGUAUAUAAUGUAAAAUAUUUAUUAUUUUAGGUCAUGAAAUAUGAAUCAUUUUUCAUUUGUGCCAAUGCAUGAAAUGUAUGGAACGUGAAAUAAAAGCAAAAUAAAAACAAACAAACAAGCCAA